GAUGAAGAACGCAGCGAAAUGCGAUACGUAAUGUGAAUUGCAGAAUUCAGUGAAUCAUCGAAUCUUUGAACGCACCUUGCGCUCUUUGGUAUUCCGAAGAGCAUGCCUGUUUGAGUGUCAUGAAAAUAUCAACCUUGACUUGGGUUUUGUGCUCUAGUCUCGGCUUGGAAUUGGGUGCUUGCCGCUUUUACGAGCGGCUCACCUUAAAUGUAUUAGCUGGAUCUGUCUUUGAGACUUGGUUUGACUUGGCGUAAUAAGUAUUUCGCUAAGGACAUUCUUCGGAGUGGCCUCGUUUCUAGGACGCUUGUCCGCUUUCCAAUACAAGUUCCACCUCGUGGACAUGACUUUUUAUUAUCUGGCCUCAAAUCAGGUAGGACUACCCGCUGAACUUAAGCAUAUCAAUAAGCGGAGGA
rnacentral:misc_RNA from 1 species